GCAGGGUCUUCAGGGAGCAGUCCUCUGCCAGGCCAGUUCACUGUUCCUCAUAGCUUGGCUCUUGUGCCUCCUUUGGGCCAAUUAUGUGUGGCAGACCGGGAAAAUGGUCGGAUCCAGUGUUUUAAAACUGACACCAAAGAAUUUGUGAGAGAGAUUAAGCAUUCAUCAUUUGGAAGAAAUGUAUUUGCAAUUUCAUAUAUACCAGGCUUGCUCUUUGCAGUGAAUGGGAAGCCUCAUUUUGGGGACCAAGAACCUGUACAAGGAUUUGUGAUGAACUUUUCCAAUGGGGAAAUUAUAGACAUCUUCAAGCCAGUGCGCAAGAAAUGGAACAUCGAUCAGUUAAAAAGGCUGGCAUUGAGGUCCAGGAAAUCAAAGAUUCUGAACACAAACUCGAGACAAGUUCAGGAAGAGUACUGGGAAGAUUUAGAGGAAAGGGAAGUGGAGGCUUAAACCUUGGUAAUUUCUUUGCAAGCCGUAAGGGCUACAGUCGAAAAGGGUUUGACCGGCUUAGCACCGAGGGCAGUGACCAAGAGAAAGAGGAUGAUGGAAGUGAAUCAGAAGAGGAGUAUUCAGCACCUCUGCCUGCACUCGCACCUUCCUCCUCCUGAAAACCAAGCUUUGAUUUAGAUUAAGAUUUACCCAGAAUGUCAGAUUCCUUUCCCUUUAGCACGUUUAAAGUUCUGUGUAUUUAAUUGUAAACUGUACUAGUCUAUGUGGGACUUUACACACUUUAUUUACUUCGUUUUGGUUAAGUUGUCUUCUGUUUCUAGUUGAGGAGGUUCCUAAAAGUUCAUAACAGUGCCAUU
rnacentral:sRNA from 1 species